rnacentral:piRNA from 1 species
UGCAUACGAAGGUGGCGGCUG